ACGGAGCAAUACCGCGUGAGGGAGGAAGGCUCUUGGGUUGUAAACCUCUUUUAUCAGGGAAGAAAGAAUGACGGUACCUGAUGAAUCAGCAUCGGCUAACUCCGUGCCAGCAGCCGCGGUAAUACGGGGGAUGCAAGCGUUAUCCGGAAUUAUUGGGCGUAAAGCGUCCGUAGGUGGCUUAUCAAGUCUGCUGUUAAAGAAUGCGGCUCAACCGCAUAUGGGCAGUGGAAACUGAUGAGCUAGAGUGCGAUAGGGGUUACAGGAAUUCCCAGUGUAGCGGUGAAAUGCGUAGAUAUUGGGAAGAACACCAGCGGCGAAAGCGUGUGACUGGGUCUGCACUGACACUGAGGGACGAAAGCUAGGGGAGCGAAAGGGAUUAGAUACCCCUGUAGUCCUAGCCGUAAACGAUGACAACUAGGUGUGGUUCGUAUCGACCCGAGCCGUGCCGUAGCCAACGCGUUAAGUUGUCCGCCUGGGGAGUACGCACGCAAGUGUGAAACUCAAAGGAAUUGACGGGGGCCCGCACAAGCGGUGGAGUAUGUGGUUUAAUUCGAUGCAACGCGAAGAACCUUACCAAGGCUUGACAUCCUGCGAAUCUCCUUGAAAGGGGAGAGUGCCUUCGGGAGCGCAGAGACAGGUGGUGCAUGGCUGUCGUCAGCUCGUGUCGUGAGAUGUUGGGUUAAGUCCCGCAACGAGCGCAACCCACGUUUUUAGUUGCCAUCAUUCAGUUGGGCACUCUAGAGAGACUGCCGGUGACAAACCGGAGGAAGGUGUGGAUGACGUCAAGUCAGCAUGCCCCAUACGCCUUGGGCUACACACGUACUACAAUGCGUUGGACAGAGGGUCGCAAGCGUGCGAGCGCAAGCCAAUCUCGUAAACCAACGCUCAGUUCAGAUUGCAGGCUGCAACUCGCCUGCAUGAAGGCGGAAUCGCUAGUAAUCGCAGGUCAGCAUACUGCGGUGAAUGCGUUCCCGGGCCUUGUACACACCGCCCGUCACACCAUGGGAGUUGGUCAUGCCCGAAGUCGUUACUCUAACCGUUCGCGGA
rnacentral:rRNA from 1 species